rnacentral:tRNA from 1 species
CGUCGGCCGCGACGUCGGCGACGCCCGCACGCUCGAGACGCGUGACGAGUGGUUCGACGCGCUGCGCGAGGUGUUCGACCUGCCGCUCGACGA